UGGGGAAUCUUGCGCAAUGGGCGAAAGCCUGACGCAGCCAUGCCGCGUGAAUGAUGAAGGUCUUAGGAUUGUAAAAUUCUUUCACCGGGGACGAUAAUGACGGUACCCGGAGAAGAAGCCCCGGCUAACUUCGUGCCAGCAGCCGCGGUAAUACGAAGGAGGCUAGCGUUGCUCGGAAUUACUGGGCGUAAAGGGAGCGUAGGCGGACAUUUAAGUCAGGGGUGAAAUCCCGGGGCUCAACCUCGGAAUUGCCUUUAAUACUGGGUGUCUUGAGUGUGAGAGAGGUAUGUGGAACUCCGAGUGUAGAGGUGAAAUUCGUAGAUAUUCGGAAGAACACCAGUGGCGAAGGCGACAUACUGGCUCAUUACUGACGCUGAGGCUCGAAAGCGUGGGGAGCAAACAGGAUUAGAUACCCUGGUAGUCCACGCCGUAAACGAUGAUUGCUAGUUGUCGGGAUGCAUGCAUUUCGGUGACGCAGCUAACGCAUUAAGCAAUCCGCCUGGGGAGUACGGUCGCAAGAUUA
rnacentral:rRNA from 1 species